rnacentral:misc_RNA from 1 species
UUGAUUAUUGUUUUCGGGCUCAGAGAUACACUAAAUAAAACAAGAGUUUGGAACCUCCGGCGGUUUUUUAGGCCUACCGAAGCAACGACUGAGGUAUGUUCACACGGGUUGGAGUUUUGCAACUCGAUAAUGAUCCCUCCGCUGGUUCACCAACGGAGA